UCCGGUGGCUCUCUUACUGCAGCCGGUACCUAAGGGAAUGACAACCGAAGGGUUUCUUCUUGCUGUACUACUUACGACUGGAGUGGGAUGCAAGCCAGUGUAAAUGAAAUAUCACAGCUCUCUAAUUAGGAGAGAGAUAUGGAAGAGGCUGAUCCUCUGAAAGCUCAAGUGAACAUACGGAAACAAAAUCCCGUGGGAGUGUUUGUAGUCAACACUACCCCGAAUUCCUUGGAAAGAAGGAGCUGCUGUGUGUAAGAUAUCUUGUAGAAGCACUUCCCUUAAAACUACACAUUUUAUUAUUAACAUCAAGCAAAUGUUAACA